rnacentral:lncRNA from 1 species
UUGCUCACCACUAUAUCAGCUUCAACGUGCUAGAAGGAAGGAAUAAGGAGGAUGACCCGGAUGAGGAUAUGGAUGCCAAAAUCAACUGGGCUUUAGUCGUCGCAGGCAGAAAGAGAAGAUUGGGUUGAAAACAAGUGGUGGAACAGAUAGAGGUUCUGGGCGGUUGGUUGGGGAAAACGGUGGAGCUGCAGACGCCAAAAAUCUACGGGUGAAGGAUUAUGGUUUGUGCUGCUGCUGCUGCUUUGUUUGAAUUGGGUUGUUUUAGGAGAAUUGUCAAGAACUGAAAAAAGACUUUAAAUCUCUUGAAACGGAAGCUCAGCGAAUGCACCCUGUACAUAAAUAGGCUUCAAAGAUCUUUCUAUUUUAUUGCAUCCAGAGCACCAAAAUUGCAGCCAACCACACUGCAACUGCGAAGCAGUUUGGCCUUCGUCCUCUGCCAAAACCAAAGAGAUUAUUCUUGGAGAGGCUUGAUCCAAAGGCUGGUUCCCAACCCAGAAAUCUCCCUAAAAUGAAGGUAAGCAAAGACACUACAAACUCGCAUCAAGUGCAUGCAAAGCAAGAUUAAAAACUGAACGACCAUCUUUAGAACAGUGUCAAUAGAAGAACAAUGGAGCCAUGCAGAUAUUUUUUGGCUUCCUACAUGGCAAUGCUUUGUGGUAAAAUCACAACAACCAUUUUUUGAUGAGACAAUGGUUUAUAUGAAGCAAUGAAGACCAUUUUUGCACCCAACAUUGCAAUCUUUUGUAAUGACAUGAAAUCCUCCAUUUUUUUUUAUGAUAUAAUGGUUUGUACCAAGGCUACAUGUGAAAUGCAACUCCUAAAACUAGAUUUGUACAAUGUAAACUAGCUUUUAAACAAUUUUGUUUAUUACACAUGUUUUUCGUUUAAUAUAAACACAUCUUGGUUU